UACGUAGGGUGCAAGCGUUAAUCGGAAUUACUGGGCGUAAAGCGUGCGCAGGCGGUUGUGCAAGACAGAUGUGAAAUCCCCGGGCUUAACCUGGGAAUUGCAUUUGUGACUGCACGGCUAGAGUGUGUCAGAGGGGGGUAGAAUUCCACGUGUAGCAGUGAAAUGCGUAGAGAUGUGGAGGAACACCGAUGGCGAAGGCAGCCCCCCUGGGUCAAGAUUGACGCUCAUGCACGAAAGCGUGGGGAGCAAACAGG
rnacentral:rRNA from 1 species